AGACAUUUAGCUCAGCAGGUCAGAGCAGCAGCCUUAUAAGCUGCAGGUCCGGAGUUCGAGUCUCCGAGUGUCUACCA
rnacentral:tRNA from 1 species